UGGGGAAUCUUCCGCAAUGGACGAAAGUCUGACGGAGCAACGCCGCGUGUAUGAUGAAGGUCUUCGGAUUGUAAAGUACUGUCAUUGGGGAAGAACGGUUUUCUUGAAAAGAUUGAGAAGACAUGACGGUACCCAAGGAGGAAGCCCCGGCUAACUACGUGCCAGCAGCCGCGGUAAUACGUAGGGGGCAAGCGUUGUCCGGAAUUAUUGGGCGUAAAGGGCGCGUAGGCGGGCCUUUAAGUCCGGUGUGAAAGAUCAGGGCUCAACCCUGAGAGUGCAUCGGAAACUGGAGGCCUUGAGGACAGGAGAGGAAAGUGGAAUUCCACGUGUAGCGGUGAAAUGCGUAGAUAUGUGGAGGAACACCAGUGGCGAAGGCGACUUUCUGGACUGUAACUGACGCUGAGGCGCGAAAGCGUGGGGAGCAAACAGGAUUAGAUACCCUGGUAGUCCACGCCGUAAACGAUGAGUGCUAGGUGUAGAGGGUAUCGACCCCUUCUGUGCCGCAGUUAACACAAUAAG
rnacentral:rRNA from 1 species